rnacentral:rRNA from 1 species
ACUCAAAUGAAUUGACGGGGAGGCGCACAAGCAGUGGAGCGUGUUGUUUAAUUCGAUACGAAGCGAAAAACCUCACCAGGGUUUGACAUGUACUUGCUAAGCCUAUGAAAGUAGGCCUCCUUCGAGGGUAGUACACAGAUGCUGCAUGGCUGUCGUCAGCUCGUGGCGUGAGCUGUACCGUUAAGUCGGGAAACGAGCGCAACCCGCACCGUAUGUUAAAUUUCAUGCGGAACAGUUCCGCUUUGCGGAAAGGAAGGCGCGGAUGACGUCAAGUCAGCACGGCUCUUACACCCUGGGCUACAAACACCCUACAAUGGCGAAAAACAAUGAGCUGCAACCUGGUAACAGGAAGCUAAUCUCUGAAAUUUCGCCCCAGUUCAGAUCGAGGUCUGCAAUUCGACCUCGUGAAGCCGGAAUUGCUAGUAAUCGCGGAUCAGCGGGCCGCGGUGAAUACGUUCUCGCCUCUUGUACACACCGCCCGU